UACGGAGGGUGCGAGCGUUGUCCGGAAUCACUGGGCGUAAAGGGCGCGUAGGCGGCGCGGGCAGUCAACGGUGAAAGCUCGGGGCUCAACCCCGAGUCGGCCGUCGAUACUCCCGUGCUCGAGCACUGUAGAGGCAGGUGGAAUUCCGGGUGUAGCGGUGGAAUGCGUAGAGAUCCGGAAGAACACCGGUGGCGAAGGUGGCCUGCUGGGCAGUAGCUGACGCUGAUGCGCGACAGCGUGGGGAGCAAACAGG
rnacentral:rRNA from 1 species